UUACAUAUUUCUGGAUAUUUUCUAAUUUUGCGGGUUUUCAUGCAUGAAAUGCAUUUUUAUAAGUUCUUUGUUUGAAACCGGUAUGCGUUAAACAGAAUGGGGUAUUACAAAUGCCGCGAUGUGAUAUUUUCUUGAUUUUUUAGAAAUUUGAGCUGCGGCCGAGGAAAUCUGACCUUAAGUCAGAUAUGUAUUUUUUCUAUUCUUGUUUACAUUAAAUUGCUCAUUUGGUCACUUGAAUUAACACAGUACACACAGUCUGAAUAGAAAAAUAUGUGUAAGCAUGAUAUGUGCAAGAAAAAUCAGUUCAAGGACUUGAAAAUUGAGCAGAUUAGGCCUGAAAUUAGCAUAUUUUAACUGAUUUUGAAGGAAAACAGGCAGAUUUUCACACACUAGACUUGCAUAUUGGUUUCCUCAAUGCUUAAUUGAGCAUAAAUCAUGAUAUCUGAGGUCCUGGAUUGUAUAUUUACUUAUUUUGUUGGAUGUCUUACACUUUUAGUACCUGAAAACCUGAAAUGAGAGCGCUCGGACAAUGUGAAGUUUGUCGCAUAGACGGGGAUUGACCGCCUUUGUACAUAUAUGUCUGCAGCUUUCACAGAUUUGACCGAAGACAAUUGUUCGGUGUUGUGAAUAGAUGUUGUUCGGCGCAGGCCUUCCAGUCACACCGAAGAUCCUGGUUCGAUCGCACGAAGGGUCACUUCCAUUGAUAUUAUUCACCGGAAAAAUUAGGAGCACCAGUUGUAGUUUCUCAGGUUGAUAUUUAUUAAGGUUUUUGCAGAAAUUUAGCCAGUUUGGAACAUUCAGCAGGCAGUGAUGUACUCUAAAAUCAUUAUUUAUUGAGAUAGGGGCUGUUUUUGUCAGAAAGCUCAGCUGUGAUACACAAUGUAAGAUUUUGUGUAGUGUAAAUGGUCAUGGUGUGUCUGUUUCAUGUAGAGAGUGCACUGAAUGCCUAUAAACUGUAAGAUUUGAGUGAAAUAUUAAUUCCAGAAAGACUCAUAAGCUUUCUAGGAAGCUCACAUAUUGGACUUUUCAGAGCUGUUUGGCUCAUUUUACCUAGGGUAGCCAUAAAUGAAUGAUCACUGAAAAGUAUAUGACACAUAUAUGUACAAAAGCUAUUCAUUCUCAUAUUUGCCACAUACUGGGCUGCUUUAAAAGGGCAAAUUUGACAGUUACAGGAUUUUUCUUAGUUCACAUUUUACUUUUUCGUGUGAGUAGACUACGCGUUUUGACGUGCUUUUUGUAAUAUGAAUAGUUUUCCUUAAAAUUGAAACAGUGAUAUUGUAAUCAGACUUGAAGUGGCUCUUAAUUUGGAUAGAUGUAUAAUAAGGAAACAUGCCUUUUUUUAUUUUGGGUGAAAAUCUCAUCAAACAAAAAAGUUAUAGUAUUUUGUGUUUGUUUUCAUCUGAAAAGUAUGCGAAAUUUUUUUGGCUCAGAUUUGACCGAUACCAUGUGUAACAUUGGAAGCAGUCAAAUUUUAGUGCAUAGCUCAACAAAGGUGUAACUUUCAGAUUUAAUUUGCUAUACAUCUGAGAUUGUACUGGUAAAAUAUUUUUUAGUUUGAAGAGACAAAUAGGUCUAAAUUGGUAACAAGGUACAGUUACCUGCCCUUCGUUACCCAACUAAAGGAAGUGUAUCCGAGAGAAAAGAGGUCCCUCAUUUCAUGAUGGAUUUGAUUGUAAAUAGAUAUUCUGAGCUUCUGAAUGUAGCCAAAUUUUAUAGAUCUGAUGUAAAUGAAGAGAAAGGGGUAAAAAAAAUCUGAAAAAUCAUGGUUUCUUGUGCAAAUGACUGUCUGCGGAUUUGUACAAAAAGUAGGCUGGACCGCUUCACUUUGUAAAAAUGCAAUACAGUAUUCAUUCUGACAGAUGUGAGGAGAAAAGUAGCAGGUCAACAGGUCACUUCAAAGUGAUUUUUGUGUUUCUCUUGGAUAGAUUUCUAAAGAGAAGGUAUUUGCAUUUGUCUUCAGAACAUUGUGUCAAAGCCUUGCAUUGAUAUAUUUGUAUGUUACCCUAUGGGAAAUUAAUUGUACUUUGGGGCCAAAUUCAACAGGACAAGGUAUUCCUCAGAGCCACUUAAGCCUUCUAGUAUUUGGGCCUCUUAUUUAUUCAACGUUCUCCACCAGAUUUCAAAAAGUCAUGAAAGCAUAGAUAAAUGUCUACCAUUUACAAAGUUUAACGAGCUAAUUUUGACAAAAGAAAAGAAUUUACACAUCUUGUCAUAUCUUGGUAAUAAACCUUUUUUCGUUUAGACAUUGUGACCAUAUAUCAUAUAUAUGAAAAGUUAAAAUCUACAACUCCAUAUCCUUAUAAAUGAAAUGUUGUUUUCUUUGUUAAAACGAAUAAAUUAUGUGCAUUUUUGUGACUUUUUAAAAAUUGGUACAAGUCGUGAGGUGAAUGAAAUAAUGUCCUUGCAUAAUUUGAUUUUUGUGAAAUAUUGACAUGUUAUUAACAAUGCAUGUGUCGGCAUGUGUAACACAUUAGCCAUAUGUACGUUAAGAAUUAUGGCAAUUAUCGCCAAAAUUAGAGGCAGCGUUACGAUGGCUGUUCAAAAAUAACGUCUGCUGUCAAAAGCCACCUUUUGUGUAUAGUGCAAUGUGAGAUAUAUGAUUGUAAUUUGCAACUGUCAUAUAUUUUUGUUACAUUUUUUUGACACGCGAAGUACGUAGAACGUUUUAAUUACCAUAGCUACUCAUAACCGGCGCAGUCGCUUUUUCAUCUGUAAUGAUUUGAAUUAGACCGCUAAUGUUCGCACUGAUUGUCCACUUGUUUACCUGAAGAUACACCAAAAAGCAGCACAACUUCAUAUAUACACCGGACGAGAGAAGUGGAAAAACACAACGUUUGAACUAAGUGAGAAUUGCUGUUGAUAAUGCACGUAAAGUCGUCAUUGGCUUGCAUAGAUAAUAAGACAUUUGCUAAGUUAUGAAAUUUAUAAACUAAUGAAGCAGACGCCAUGACAAUUUUCGGUCACCUGUGUCUUGAUAUUGAAGUGUUAGAAACGUUUCGUAAAUGGCCUAGAAUAACUAAAAGACAGCGAAGGUCUAGAGAGAAAAAAAUACGUGAUUCGACGUUAACGUCAAUCUAUAACGCCUUUGUUCAUGGUGCGCACCUAUUCUGAGUUGCUUUGUGUAAGUGUUCAUACUGCUUUCAGUAUUCGAACCAAACAACUUCUUAUGACCUAGGUAUUUUUUAUUAAGAUUAACAAAAGAAACAUGCAAAAAUAAAUUUAUGCAAACUUAAAGAAAGCAGCUAAUGAAGUCAAAACGUCGUUAACGUCGUUGAAAUAUGAUCACCGUGCGCCAGGUUAAUGUAAAUGACUUUCGUCGAGGAGGCGUAAGUCCUGAUUAUAAUAUCAUAAUCACGUCCAAUUCGUAGUGAAGUUAGAAGCAACAUUGCGAAUCAUGAUGGUGUAUUUCUUGUUUUGCUUCAAUAAAGUAUAUAAAUGUUA